rnacentral:rRNA from 1 species
GCAGUCGAACGCUUCUUUUUCCACCGGAGCUUGCUCCACCGGAAAAAGAGGAGUGGCGAACGGGUGAGUAACACGUGGGUAACCUGCCCAUCAGAAGGGGAUAACACUUGGAAACAGGUGCUAAUACCGUAUAACAAUCGAAACCGCAUGGUUUUGAUUUGAAAGGCGCUUUCGGGUGUCGCUGAUGGANGGACCCGCGGUGCAUUAGCUAGUUGGUGAGGUAACGGCUCACCAAGGCGACGAUGCAUAGCCGACCUGAGAGGGUGAUCGGCCACAUUGGGACUGAGACACGGCCCAAACUCCUACGGGAGGCAGCAGUAGGGAAUCUUCGGCAAUGGACGAAAGUCUGACCGAGCAACGCCGCGUGAGUGAAGAAGGUUUUCGGAUCGUAAAACUCUGUUGUUAGAGAAGAACAAGGAUGAGAGUAACUGUUCAUCCCUUGACGGUAUCUAACCAGAAAGCCACGGCUAACUACGUGCCAGCAGCCGCGGUAAUACGUAGGUGGCAAGCGUUGUCCGGAUUUAUUGGGCGUAAAGCGAGCGCAGGCGGUUUCUUAAGUCUGAUGUGAAAGCCCCCGGCUCAACCGGGGAGGGUCAUUGGAAACUGGGAGACUUGAGUGCAGAAGAGGAGAGUGGAAUUCCAUGUGUAGCGGUGAAAUGCGUAGAUAUAUGGAGGAACACCAGUGGCGAAGGCGGCUCUCUGGUCUGUAACUGACGCUGAGGCUCGAAAGCGUGGGGAGCAAACAGGAUUAGAUACCCUGGUAGUCCACGCCGUAAACGAUGAGUGCUAAGUGUUGGAGGGUUUCCGCCCUUCAGUGCUGCAGCUAACGCAUUAAGCACUCCGCCUGGGGAGUACGACCGCAAGGUUGAAACUCAAAGGAAUUGACG